rnacentral:misc_RNA from 1 species
CGCACAUUGCGCCCAUUAGUAUUCUAGUGGGCAUGCCUGUUCGAGCGUCAUUUCAACCCCAUCAAGCUUUAUUUUUGCUUGGCGUUGGGAGAACGCGGGGCCCUGGAGCCCCGCGCCUCCUCAAAUCCAUCGGCGGAGUCGUAGCGACCCAAGCGUAGUAAUCUUUUCUCGCUUCAGGUGUUUUGCUGCCGGCGUCCAGCCGCUAAACCCCCUAUUUCUUUUAGGUUUGACCUCGGAUCAGGUAGGAAUACCCGCUGAACUUAA